rnacentral:rRNA from 1 species
CGUGUGUGAGAAGGCCUGCGGGUUGUAAAGCACUUUCAGUAGGGAAGAAAAGCCUACGGUUAAUAACCGUGAGUCUUGACGUAACCUACAGAAGAAGCACCGGCUAACUCCGUGCCAGCAGCCGCGGUAAUACGGAGGGUGCGAGCGUUAAUCGGAAUUACUGGGCGUAAAGCGCGCGUAAGCGGCUUUGUAAGUCGGAUGUGAGAGCCCUGGGCUCAACCUGGGAAUUGCAUUCGAUACUGCAGAACUAGAGUAUGGUAGAGGGAAGUGGAAUUCCGGGUGUAGCGGUGAAAUGCGUAAAU